rnacentral:rRNA from 1 species
GAUGAACGCUAGCGGCAGGCUUAACACAUGCAAGUCGAGGGGUAACAGAGUAGCUUGCUAUUGCUGACGACCGGCGAACGGGUGCGUAACGCGUAUAGAAUCUGCCUUGUACAGGAGGAUAGCCUUUAGAAAUGAAGAUUAACACUCCAUAAUACUGAUAAUUGGCAUCAUUUAUUAGUUAAACAUUUAUGGGUACAAGAUGACUAUGCGUCCUAUUAGCUAGAUGGUAAGGUAACGGCUUACCAUGGCAACGAUAGGUAGGGGGUCUGAGAGGAUUAUCCCCCACACUGGUACUGAGACACGGACCAGACUCCUACGGGAGGCAGCAGUGAGGAAUAUUGGUCAAUGGAGGCAACUCUGAACCAGCCAUGCCGCGUGCAGGAAGACUGCCCUAUGGGUUGUAAACUGCUUUUAUACAGGAAGAAACUUAGCCACGUGUGGUUAACUGACGGUACUGUAAGAAUAAGCACCGGCUAACUCCG